AUUUAAAUAGUUUAAUAAAAAUUUCAAUUUGUGGGAUUGAAGAUAUGAGUUAUUCAUUUUAAAUA
rnacentral:tRNA from 1 species